rnacentral:rRNA from 1 species
UAGCGUAGGGGGCAAGCGUUGUCCGGAUUUAUUGGGCGUAAAGAGCGUGUAGGCGGCCAUGUAGGUCCGUUGUGAAACUCGAGGCUCAACCUCGAGACGCCGAUGGAAACCAUGUGGCUAGAGUCCGGAAGAGGAGAGUGGAAUUCCUGGUGUAGCGGUGAAAUGCGCAGAUAUCAGGAAGAACACCCGUGGCUAAGGCGGCUCUCUAGUACGGUACUGACGCUGAGACGCGAAAGCGUGGGGAGCGAACAGG